UACGUAGGGGCCGAGCGUUGUCCGGAGUUACUGGGCGUAAAGCGCGCGCAGGCGGCGCAUCGCGCCCGGCGUGAAAGCCCCCGGCUCAACCGGGGAGGGUCGUCGGGGACGGGUGCGCUUGAGGACGGCAGGGGCAGGUGGAAUUCCCGGUGUAGUGGUGAAAUGCGUAGAUAUCGGGAGGAACACCAGUGGCGAAGGCGACUUCCUGGCCUGUUCUUGACGCUGAGGCGCGAAAGCUAGGGGAGCAAACGGG
rnacentral:rRNA from 1 species